CACAUGCCAUGCAUGAUCUGACUUUCUUUCUCCCUCCUACAAAAUAGUUUCGUAGAGCCGAAGGCUGUCUGGGUUCCAGCAGGAACUAGUUCUGGACGGUGAAGCCCUGCCGGAUAGCUGACACCGUAUGUAUGCAACCCCAUAGAGAGGUCGUAGGUUCGAUCUUUUGCUUGAGGGGCUGUUCGAGGGUCCUCCCGAAGGGCUGUCCGAGUGACCGUCCGAGUUUCUUAGAGUGCCUCCCUAAGGACUGUCCGACUGCGUUCCGAAGGGUUGUCCGAGGUAUAGAUGCGGGAGAACAUCGUCGCGGUUGGGAGGUUGUAAAUCCUAGCUGCGGGGAUCUGCAUUGAUGAUCUACACCGACUGUACUUCCACUGCACUACAAGUCGAGUACGGGUCACUCGGAAAGGCAUCAAGGAAUAGCGACGUGUUAAGCUACGGAAUUAUGCUCCCUGAAGCCUUCACUGAAAGGAGACCCAUAGACCCUAUAUUUGGCGCACAACUAACACUUAGGCAGUGGGUUUAUUCAUCGGGCAUUUCCUGCAGAACUUGUCCAAGUUGUAAAUGGUCAGCUGCUGCAACGUUCCUCUCUUCCUUGCUGCAGCCGGGACGGUUGUUUUCCAGCGUCGAUCUUCGAAUUGGGAUUGAUCUGCUCUAGCGACUUGCCUGGCCAGAGGAUGACUAUGAUAGAUGUGGUUGUUACGCUCAAGAGAUCAAAGCUGAGUACACCAAACUAAUACAAUUAGGAUUUGAAACGUUCACAAGAAAAAGAAGAAACAUUACAAAAAUUUCUGAACAUAACCUUAUCUUAUUUUAAUUUGUAGUUAUUGUAAUUAGAAGCAUUUCCCUGCAAAAAUAAAAUAGAAGCAUCAAAUAUGGCCUAAAUAUAUCUGAAUCAUAUUGUGAAUUUAGAUGGGAAAUGUAACAGAAUGGAUUUGUAUUUCCUCCUAAUUUUUAUUUCUAAUUAUUAUGGUAAAUUAUUUUGGACUAUGAAAAAUAA